rnacentral:tRNA from 1 species
GGAGAGUUGUCCGAGCUGGCCGAAGGAACAUCAUUGGAAAUGAUGUAUACGGGUUAAAGCCUGUAUCAAGGGUUCGAAUCCCUUACUCUCCG